UAUCUAUGUUAAGAUAGAGUGGUAAUGUAUGUUAACUUUUUAUAUUGUUGCUAUAGGAUACUGUUGAUUUUUAUAAAUCUUGUUAGCUUUACUUGCAAAUUCAGUGUUGUGUAGUCAGAGGAAGAAAUGCUGACACUAUGGUGUAAACCUUCUGGGGUUUUAUAUCAAUUAGUUUACAGUACUUCAAACUGCAGCUGACAAGGGCAUUUUUCUCCAUUAGCAUGGUUGCCCCAUACUGCAGGCAAUUUGAGUGCCACUGAGAACACAAUUGACACUUGUUUAGUAAACAGGCCCUUUAAUCAGAUCUUUUAAACAAUAGCUGUGUGUGGGAACUAAUAAAUCUGAGUGCAGUUCCAGGAAAAUUUACUCAUGAGACUCCAUUGUAUUAAGGACACUUAUGGGGGAUUGCUUUGUGAAUUUGGGUAUUCAAAUUUGACUAAGAUUAGCAAGUUUGUUUUAACAAACAAGGAAAAAGAAACCCUUUGAAAGAAAGAAGCUUGACAGACAUGCCAAUAUAAUAACAGAUUUGACAUAGUUAUUCAUAACGCCACUCAAUAUUAGAAUAAGAAUUGUCUGCAGUGCUGAUACAGGGCUCAAAACUGAUUUUAGUACAGAUAUACCUAAUGAAAUAACUUUGGAAUUCUCUUUAAAAAACAAUGAUGUAAUGUUAUGCAUCAGAGGGAUUGCUAUAGAUGCUAAUGGAGAAAUGGGAAGGUUAGAAGGGAAGGAAUUUUUAUUUCUUUUUCCUCCAUCAAAAAGGGGGUGGGGGAAACAACUUGCACAAAUUAGGAAAGGAACAAAAGAGUCAAAAGGUCCCAUAAAGGAAGAAAAAUUAUCUUUGAGUAUUUUAGAAUUACUUUCUAAUAUUCAAAAUAGUGGAUUUGCUUUUACUUUUGUGGGAUAUUUCUGAUUUUUAUCUAGUUCGUUCUUUCUCAUUUAUUCUAAGCACUCCUAAAGUGGGAAAUCUCUUUGGUGGGUCUACUGAAUUCAAGCUUCUAGUUCAAGUGAGAUGUUUAGGGUCUCUGAAGUCAGAGAGAGAUGUCCAGAAGAUGAUUCUUCUCAAUUUCUCUAUUGAUCAUACAGGGACCCUCAGCAUCCCACCUCUCUUAGGCAGGUAAACUUUGUGUGAUAACGCAGGCAGGUGUGUUACACCUCUUGUGUGUGGCCCAGUGCAGCACCAUGUGGAGAUUACAGCAGCUGCAGGUACUCGUGCUCAUGUAGCAUUUCAUCUGCUGAGUAUCCCUGUUCCUUAGUGAACUUAUGCACUUCUGAGACAGUUCUGUUUUAUAAGCAUUAUUGCUAUUAUAAUCCAAACAGUUUGAAGACUGUGUAAAACUGUAGUCAACAAUAUGAACUCAUGCGUCAUGCAGCUGUACUUUUUACAGUAACUAUGAGAUCUUACAGGACACGUUAAUUAGAUUAUGGGAGGAAAAUUACUGUAACUGAAAUGUUUUAAAAUAGGCUUAUGAAUGUAGUAAAAGGAGCUGUCAUGGAAUACAUUUAAAAGUGUUAAUAUGUAAAAUGGUACUGUGUGUGGAUUAUACAAUGAUGUUCUGCAAAGAAUUGUAGUACACUAAUGUUAUGGAAAUAAAUAGAAAUGGAAAGGA
ensembl:lncRNA